rnacentral:rRNA from 1 species
CAGCAGCCGCGGUAAUACGAAGGGGGCUAGCGUUGCUCGGAAUGACUGGGCGUAAAGGGCGCGUAGGCGGAUUGGUCAGUCAGGCGUGAAAUUCCUGGGCUUAACCUGGGGGCUGCGUUUGAGACGGCUGGUCUAGAGUUUGGAAGAGGGUCGUGGAAUUCCCAGUGUAGAGGUGAAAUUCGUAGAUAUUGGGAAGAACACCGGUGGCGAAGGCGGCGACCUGGUCCUUGACUGACGCUGAGGCGCGAAAGCGUGGGGAGCAAACAGGAUUAGACACCCUGGUAGUCCACGCUGUAAACGAUGUGCGCUGGAUGUUGGGUGCCCUAGGCACUCAGUGUCGUAGCUAACGCGGUAAGCGCACCGCCUGGGGAGUACGGCCGCAAGGUUGAAACUCAAAGGAAUUGACGG